rnacentral:rRNA from 1 species
AGCCCAGCUUGAAAAUCUCCAGCCCCCGGCUGGCGAAUUGUAGUCUAGAGAAGCUGCCUCUGCGGAGCUCCGGGCCCAAGUCCCCUGGAAAGGGGCGUCAGAGAGGGUGAGAACCCCGUUGGGCCCGGCCGACUCCGCCCCACGAGGCGCUUUCGCAGAGUCGGGUUGUUUGGGAAUGCAGCCCUAAGCAGGUGGUAAAUCCCAUCUAAGGCUAAAUACCGACGGGAGACCGAUAGCGAACAAGUACCGUGAGGGAAAGAUGAAAAGAACUUUGAAAAGAGAGUUAAAAAGUGCUUGAAAUUGUUGAGAGGGAAGCGAUUGGAGGCCACGGGUGCGCCCGGGCACACGCCUGCCCACCGGCAGGUUGAAUGCGCCGGGUGCUGGUCAGCAUGGGUUGGGAGGGCGGGAUAACACCGGGGGUUGCUACCCCGGCCAUGCCGCCCCCCCGACCGAGGAGUGAACGGCGCUCUCUGAGUCCUUCGGGAACUGCGUCGUCAAGAUGCUGGCGGAAGGCCUUCAAUCGGCCCGUCUUGAAACACGGACCAAGGAGUCUAACAUGUAUGCGAGCUGGUGGGUGGCAAACCCAUGAAGCGCAAGGAAACUAACUGGUGGGAUGGCCCGUGCCUGCACCACCGACCGACCAUGAUCUUCUGUGAAAGGUUCGAGUACGAGCAUACCUGUUGGGACCCGAAAGAUGGUGAACUAUGCCUGAGCAGGGCGAAGCCAGAGGAAACUCUGGUGGAGGCUCGUAGAUGUGCUGACGUGCAAAUCG